CGGAGAGAUGGCCGAGUGGUUGAUAGCUCCGGUCUUGAAAACCGGUAUAGUCCAAAACAAAGGACUAUCGAGGGUUCGAAUCCCUCUCUCUCCU
rnacentral:tRNA from 1 species